ensembl:lncRNA
CACACACACACACACACACACACACACACACACACACACGUGCAGUAGCUCUCUUAAAAGGGAUUUUCCAUAGACUUUGAUUGCUUUUUAUACAGCUAGUUAUAAAUAAAAUAUUAAAUACUGACAGAAAACGUUCUGUUUUUACAGUUUAAAAAUAAAUAAUUUAAUAACUUAAGUAUUAUAUUAACUUUAUUUUUCAUAAGGAAACUAGGCCUAUUUUACAAGGUGGCGAUUUGAAAUGAAUUUGUACAAUUUGACUUUGCGACAAGCGACUUUUAGAAAAAAAAAAACCAAACAAAAAAAAACACUUAAAACUAAUUAUAACCAACAGCAGAGAAUAAGAAGAAUGCAUUGAGAAAUGGAUAAGUAUGAAUUAGAUUUAAACAAAAAAUAGUUAUGCACGGUCAUAAGAGUGUGUUGUUAUUUUUAUGUAUCAUUUUUACAAAUGAGGACAUUGAGGUGUCCAAAAACAGGGCGUUUUAUCAGGUUUAUCUCAUUUCAGGAACAAAAAUCACAAAAAAUAUGACUGAGUACACACUCACACACACACACACACACACAUGUCAUCAGAAACUAAAUGUCACUUUCUAAUGUUUGCGUUUACAGACGAUUCAAUGAUCUACUCAACAGCAGAUUGACCAGACGGUCCAAUGAUCUACUCGACAGCAGAUAAACCAGAUGAUCCAAUGAUCUACUCAACAGAUAAACCAGAUGAUCCAACGAUCUACUCAACAGCAGAUAAACCAGAUGAUCCAACGAUCUACUCAACAGCAGAUAAACCAGAUGAUACAAUGAUCUACUCAACAGCAGAUAAACCUGACGAUCCAAUGAUCUACUCAACAGAAGAUAAACCAGACUAUCCAAUGAUCUACUCAACAGCAGAUAAACCAGACGAUCCAAUGAUCUACUCAACAGCAGAUAAACCAGAUGAUCCAAUGAUCUACUCAACAGCAGAGAAACCAGAUGAUCCAAUGAUCUACUCAACAGCAGAUAAACCCGACCAUCCAAUGAUCUACUCAACAGCAGAUAAACCCGACCAUCCAAUGAUCUACUCAACAGCAGAUAAACCUGACGAUCCAACGAUCUACUCAACAGCAGAUAAACCAGAAGAUACAAUCAUCUACUCAACAGCAGAUAAACCUGACGAUCCAACGAUCUACUCAACAGCAGAUAAACCUGACGAUCCAACGAUCUACUCAACAGCAGAUAAACCUGAUGAUCCAAUGAUCUACUCAACAGAAGAUAAACCUGAUGAUCCAACGAUCUACUUAACAGCAGAUAAACCAGACGAUCCAACGAUCUACUCAACAGCAGAUUGA